rnacentral:rRNA from 1 species
UACGUAGGGUGCGAGCGUUGCCCGGAUUUAUUGGGCGUAAAGGGCGCGUAGGCGGCCACGCACGUCCGUUGUGAAAUCGCCCGGCUCAACUGGGCGGGGUCAGCGGAUACGGUGUGGCUCGAGCAAGCUAGGGGGCAAUGGAAUUCCCGGUGUAGUGGUGGAAUGCGUAGAUAUCGGGAGGAACACCAGUGGCGAAGGCGGUUGCCUGGAGCUUUGCUGACGCUGAUGCGCGAAAGCGUGGG